rnacentral:lncRNA from 1 species
GUUUAGUGUAAAGGUCAUCUGUGUUCUUGUGGUAAAGGUUUUUGUGGUAGUUGUUCUUGUGGUGUGUCCCUUUCUAGGUGAUAUUUGGCAGUAAAGCCUCUUCGUGUAUGUUCUGAAUGAUGGGAAACCCCUAAAUGGAGCUGCAUGCUGUGAACAUGCAUGAUUAUACUCGCUGAAAAUCUCUUACAUUCUGUGAAAUGCAAAGAUACACAUCAUAGAUCAUACCUGAAGGCACUAAACUUUGCUUCAGCUGCUUAAGCUUGUUUCUUUGUUGUUAUAACUAUCACUAAUAUAGUGGGGAUGAACCUCUGUGCUCUACUUUUGGUAGUCGCAUUUCUCUCUUUCCCAUUGUAUCUGUGUCUAGAUUAAUCUUCUGAUUUAAACUACAAUCACAAACACACACAUAAAACCUCUAAGUCAUUUGAUACCUCUCAAAUAUCUUGUGUGUGUGUGUGUGAUUAUUGGGUGGCUUGAUUGUGUCUUGCAGAAUCAGUCAGCCCAGCAGAAGCAGAAACAGCAGAGCUGGCUGCUGCCUCCAUGAUCGAGGCUGUUCCUAUGGAGUCUGUAUCCGUGGAAGAUGUGCCAGUUGAAGCUGUACCAGAGAAGCUCACUGAGGUUCCUACAACAGAUCAUUUGAAAAGUGAACCUGUAACGGAGGUGGCACCCGUUUCUCCAGUGACAGAAGCAGCACCAGUUUCUCCAGUUGUAGAAGAGCCACCUGUUGCCGCAGUGGUAGAAGAGGCUCCAGUAGCAGAGGAGACACCAGUUGUUUCACCAGCAGCAGAAGUAUUUGUUGCUCCAGUGACAGAAGCAGCACCAGUUUCCCCAGUUGUAGAAGAGCCACCUGUUGCCAUUGUGGUAGAAGAGGCUCCAGUAGCAGAGGAGACACCAGUUGAUUCACCAGUAUCUGCAGAAGAAGCGUCUGAUGUCCUGGUGAUAGAACAGGAAAUGUUGGUCAUCCCAGUGCCAGAAGAGGCAGCAGUUUCCUUGGUAACUGAAGAAGCUCCUGUUGCUGUGGCUGAAGAUGCACCGUUUGUAGCAACUGAAGAACUUGAGGAAACACCUGCAGCCAAAGUAACAGAAGAGGUUAUUCCAGUGGUUGAGGAAGGUGUGGAAGUGAAGGCAGCAGAGGUGAUUGCAGAAAGUGCAGUUGUGGAGGUUUCAGUAAGUAUAGUUGAUGAAGAAGCAGGUCCAUUUGUGGAAGUUACAGAAAGUGUUGUUGAACCAGAUGUUGCGAGCACAGUGGUAGCUGAGGAAGUUGCUCCAGCUGAAACAUCAAGUGUGCCUGAUUCUUUGGAAGAGCCCAAACGAGACUACAUAGUGGUUAUCUUGGAGGGAGCUCCCAAAACAGAAAAGAAGCCCAUGGUGCUCGGUGUGUCCCCCAUGACUGGCGAGAUCAUCUCUGCCCCUGAUGAUGGUGAAGAGCGAUCGGGAAAGGUAACAGGGCAAGCGCCGUAUGCUUAAAGUGCAGAUGUAUUAGCACCAACUAAAAAAGUUGGGAGCAGUCAGAUGUUCUGGGAUAGUAAACCGGUUCCCUGAUAAAGAAUUAGUAAUGUGCCUUCCCCUUUCCCUAUUUCCUUGACCCCCUGGAUUUCAGUAAUCCUUACACUGGGCCCAGAAUGCUGUUUCCUUCUGACUCAGUGGUUCACUUCUGAGUGUGUUUACUUCAUGUGAACUUUCACUUCACUCUGAUGUGAGACAUACAAGUUUCUUGACCAUUAUAAUAUGCAUGAAAAGCUGUGACCUAUCUUUAUACCCUUUUUAAAUGGAACUCCACUCUUUUUGAGUCAACUGCACAUUGGAGCCUAUACUAUAGUGAACCCUACCUCAAACAUCACAUUAGUAGGACAUGUCUUGGAAUUGCCAUGUCAAUAGUUACAAUACCAGCAGGGCUAAAGAUUUGCUACAAACACUGUCAUAUCUGCAUGCUGACCCCAAGUUUUUUGGUUAGACAUCAGGUUAUCCUCUAUCUUCAAUAUAUGCUAUUUUUCAUUUGCAUUAUUUAUGAAUUAACAAUAUUUUUUAUUUGUACCUCUCUACCUCAGCUUGAAAAGACAGUGUUCUCUUUUUUCCAGUAACCAGUCCAGUAUUAAUUUUUAAAGGCUGACAUUACAAUAUUAUCCAAAAGGCAAACCCCACUGCUGCAUCCUUUGCCUUUGUUUUCCUGUUCUCUCUUAGUUUGUUCUGUUGAUCCAUCAGAGUUGGUCACCAUCAUCAAACCAGUGAAGUUUCCUGUGAUUAUAAAAAAAUGUUGUUUGGCAGGUGUAGUAAUUAAAUAAAGUAAUAAAUUACUUUGCUUGAUGUGGCAAAAACAAGGUCCCCAAACCUAUUAUGACAAAGUUACACUUUCUUUGAUACUACAGUUUUGAUGCUCAUUUGAUUUGAGAUUUUAGACUGGUAGACAGACAUACUAUAUCGAGCCAGAAGGGAAAUUAAGAUCGGAUAAAAAAAAACAUACAACUACCUAACAAUUUUGUCUCUUAUUUCCUUCAUGUUUCAAAAGGGACCUUAUUAGUUUUACAAGUAAGAUAACUUUAUAAUGUGAAUGUGAGGGAAUAAUUUGAAGUAUAGUUCAGUAUAAAGGGUGUGUACACGGGUUCUUUUUUGUUUUUGUUUUAAGGGUUAAGGAUGUAAUACACAUUUAUUUGCUCUUUUGAAGUUUCACCUUUCACUGUAGGCCCUAACUAUGGUUUUUUAAACUGUGAAUGUAUGUCAAAGAAAAAUAAAGAGUUGAAAAACAUUUCUGUGUGAUCAGGGGCAGAUUUAGUGAAUUGGGGGCCCCA